UAUUCAUUCACACGUCACACCUUACACGACGACACGACCAUAGCUGCUACCCUGCUACCACUCUGAACACGAUGACAUGCUUCAAUUUUGAACGAUGACUUAAUAAGGUCAAUAUUACCAUAAAAUAAAUGAAUUCUUUACAUAUUUUCUCCUUAAUACCUUUUUUACCCUCUAAAGUUUCCAAUUUUUCUCCCUCCCUCUCACGCCAUACGCCGCGAUUCCGCCGGAGAACGCAUCGGAAUCCGCCGGAAAUGGAAAUCUCCGGCACCGUUCCGAGGCCGAGUUCCUCUCUCCGACUCAACACCGAUGAUAGCGACCCUUUCUUGGAUUCUCCUGUCGGUGCCGGAAAAGGGGAUGCUUUAACAACUGAGGCAGAUCUAGAGGCUUCUUCCUCCACUAAAACUGCUUCUAGAAAGCACAAAUAUCGCAUGAGCAGCAUCAAAUUGUUUGGGGUAGAUUUAUCCCCUGAUAAUGUUGCUGUUGCGAUGGUAUAUUUUGUUCAAGGUGUUUUAGGACUUGCAAGACUAGCUGUGAACUUUUACUUAAAAGAUGAUUUGCAUUUGGAUCCUGCUGAGGCAGCUGUGAUUACUGGCCUUUCUGCAUUACCGUGGCUUAUCAAACCUCUGUAUGGGUUUAUUAGUGAUUCUGUACCCCUAUUUGGUUAUCGGAGAAGGUCAUACCUAGUUUUAUCAGGGCUUCUUGGUGCACUCUCAUGGAGCUUGAUGGCUACUUUUGUUGACAGCAAAUAUAGUGCUGGUUUUUGCAUACUUCUAGGAUCUCUCUCUGUUGCCUUCUCGGAUGUUGUUGUAGAUUCAAUGGUUGUGGAGAGGGCACGUGGUGAGUCACAAAGCACAUCAGGGUCUCUUCAGUCUUUAUGUUGGGGUUCUUCAGCCUUUGGUGGAAUUGUGAGCUCCUACUUCAGUGGAUCUUUGCUGGACUUAUAUGGAGUAAGGUUUGUUUUUGGCAUCACAGCAUUGCUUCCAUUGAUAACAUCUGUAGUAGCUGUUCUUGUAAAUGAACAACCUAUGUUUGGUAUAGCAAGAGGGCAAAAUCUUUUUUCUGUUGGGCCAGAGUUUUUGGAAAGUUCAAAACGGAGCAUUAUUCAGCUGUGGGGUUCUGUGCGACAGCCUAGUGUUUUUCUUCCCACAUUGUUUAUUUUCUUGUGGCAAUCGACUCCACAAUCGGACUCUGCUAUGUUCUACUUUACCACAAAUUCUCUUGGUUUUACCCCGGAGUUUUUGGGACGUGUCAAGCUUGUUACUUCAAUUGCCUCUCUGCUUGGUGUUGGUAUUUAUAAUGGAUUUCUGAAGAAUGUGCCUUUACGGAAAAUAUUUUUUGCUACUACCCUUUUAGGUUCAGCUCUUGGGAUGACUCAGGUUUUCCUCAUUACUGGACUAAACCGGAAGUUUGGCAUUAGUGAUGAGUGGUUUGCAAUUGGUGAUUCAUUAAUUCUCACUGUUUUGAGUCAGGCUUCUUUCAUGCCCGUUCUCGUGCUAGCAGCAAGAUUAUGUCCUGAAGGAAUGGAGGCAACUCUUUUCGCAACUCUCAUGUCUGUAUCUAAUGGAGGAAGUGUUGUUGGGGGAUUGUUUGGGGCGGGCUUGACUCAACUAUUUGGAAUUACCAAGGACAGAUUUGAUAACUUGGCAGCUUUGAUAAUACUUUGCAAUCUUAGCUCAUUAUUGCCUCUUCCUCUUCUUGGCCUUCUCCCUGGGAAUAAUCCUGAUGUGAAUCCGGAGGACGAUUCCGAUAUUGAGAUGAAGUGUAAUUGAUUCUGGUUGUUUGUCCCUGACUUUUCUUGGAUUUGUCUAUAUUUUCCAAGCUAUACCCAAGUUUUGCUCUCAACAGACAUCACUUACACACAUGCAGACAGAACUUUUGUAUAUGUAUAUAUAUAAAAGAACCUUCUACACAAUAUGCUCCGGAGCGACUCGAGACAUUGCUAACCAUCAAACGACAAAGCACCAGCCCCGUCGAAACACACAACUAUCAUUCACGUUGUCCCUUUGUAGUGUACUUUCUCCUUUUUGAUAAAUCAUGUUCCCUUUUACUUCUUUGUAAGAACUCGGGCUUUGUAUUUUUUAGUCAAUAAUCGUCCUUCGACAAUGGGAUCCGAGCUAUUGUCAUUAGCAAUGACCUAAAUCAAACAACAGGUAACUUGUUUUUCUUGUUUCUUAUCUCGUAGUAAAGGGAAGAUUCACUGGGUGCUUGUACUGCACACGGUUUAGUAAUUAUGCCGGUUUCUUAUGCUCGACAUUCUUAUCUAUGGUAAAAUGGGGAUUUAUGCUAUUU